UGUCUUUUAAAUCCAUUUUCCAGGAAUGUUUUGAAGUGCUCUUGAGCAAGUGUGUGUGUGCAUAUGUGUAUGUGCGUGUGUGUGCAUAUGUGUGCAUGCGUGUGCAUGUGUGUAUAUAUGUGUGUGCACACAUAUAUUGCUGUCACGUUCAUACAUUGUAUUACUUAAUAAGGCACUUACCCUGACUGAAUUAUCAUGACCUUGAGCCCACACGAAGCCAGCAGGAGAGGAGGAACCCGGGCACUGCCGCGGCAGCUGCUGAACUUGGCCACACUUUGUCCCCACAUCCACCCCAGGCGGUGCGGUUGCUGAGGCCUGGAGCGCCGACGCCAUUCCCCGAGGGCCCCACGGCCAGUGAGUGGCAGAGCAGGGGAUCAAACCCGUUCUGCCUCCUGCCCUUUCUCUUCACUGCUGUCGGAGCACCAAGCGGUGUGACCUAUGGCAGCUCCCUGCAAGAGCUGGAAUUCAGGAACAAAAGUUUGACCUUCCACCUGCGAGUCCCCACUGCUGGCUCCCCACGGGGCCUGGGAUGGGGCCUGGGAUCCGUGAGUGUUGAAGGUGCACGUGGUGACCCAGCAGAGCAUUGGCACUUAAAAUGAAUCCUAGAGGCCAGCGUGGUGGCACAGCAGGCUGAGCUGCUCCCGGCGACACCGGCAUCCCAUAUGGGCGCCGGCUCAUGUCCUGGCUGCUCUGGUUCCAAUCCAGCUCCCUGCUAAUGCGCCUGGGAAAGCAGCGGAAGAUGGCCCAAGUGCUUGGGUCCCUGCCCCGCCCCCAUGCAGGAGACCCAGACGGAGCUUCUGGCUCCUGUCUUCAGCCCGUCCCAGACUCUACUGUUGAAGCCAUUUGGGGAGUGAACCAGCAGAUGGAAUACUUCUCUCUCUCUCUCUCUCUCUCACCAACUCCCUUCCUCUUUCAAACAAAUAAAUAUAUUUUUUUUUAAAUUAGAAAACAAUAGCGAAUGCUGGAGGAAGAGAGUAGAAUAGGAUGUGAGUUAGCAGUGAGACAGACGAGCUACUUCCCAUCUCAGAUGGUUACAGGGUUGAGCUCUGCCCAGCCUUCCAGAUGGUUCCAGAGAAACAAGAAUGCCCACCUCGUCCCCCGGGACUCCCCUGGUCCCAGCCUCCUAACUCGAAGCCCGAGGCCAACAGCCACGUCUGCUGCUUAACCUGGAGACCCUGGAACCUCCGCUGCCCUUGAACUUGAGGAAGCCACUUCCCUUCUCUGAGUUUCUUCAUUCACAAAAUGAGAAGGGUGGAGAAGCCGACGCCAGGCUCUUCUGGAUGUAAAACCCCAAGGUUGUCAUCACCAGCGCGGCCGCCUGGAUGGCACAGCGGUGGGUGGGAGCCACUUCCCAGGGGCGGAGCCUGUGCAGGGGAUGUGGGGGAGGCCCUCAAAGCUGCUGCCCCUUCCCUCCUCCCCGCUCCUCUCCGAGACCCCAGACGCCGGUUCCCACGCGAGCGCAGGAGAGGAUGAGCGCCAGAGCCCCGAGUUCUGCCAACUCCGCCGCAGCUCGCCAGGGGACCCCGCGCAGAGCCGGUCCCUCUCCCAGCUCGGAAGCGCCGCCCUCCCCCGCCUGCAGUGCGGUCCCUCCCCAGAGGCACGGUCAGGCAGUCGAGUUACGGACUUUUGUGUUUCCAUUGGACAGCGCCGGUCCGCCAGCUUCCGGAGCGCAGGUGUGUGACUCUCCCCACGCAGGCCCAGGGAGGGGACGGGCCCCCGGCUGGGGUCGCACAGCAAACUGGUGGCAGAACUAGGACUUGGGCCAGGACUCUGUGCUGAGACCCCCUCCA